CUGGAAGACGCGAGGUUUGAGCGUGUUAUGUUUUCCCUGAGGGUCGUCUGAGCCGCAGCGAUCAAAGAGAGAGAUGGAGGUUAACUGACCAGACCUGAGAACCUCCACAGAAGGACCUGAGGGACUCCUCCCUGCUAGCCCAGGGGAACAGAGUCAUUACCGAAGCAGGAACUCCAGUCUGGAGGCCACGGCUCUUGCGUGUAGCGUGAAUAGAUGGAGCCGGUUUCUUCGCUGAGACGUGCUGAGGAACACACACUGCGCCAUUACCACUGCCCUGCGGUUCAAGCCUCACCCCCCGCCCCUGUUUUUCCCAUUUCAGGGCGGAAAAAUAGCUCUGAAGCCCUCUGCUGCCCUCUGUUGGAGGCCGGACCCCAUCCGCCGUUUCCACGCUGUGCAGGUACUCGGUGCAUGACAGCUGUCCAUCACCACGGAACAGGUGUGUGAGUGAUCCCACCGUCUCCGGCUAUCCAUCCCC
ensembl:lncRNA